UGCUUUUUGUCUUGCUGAUGGCGGUUUAGAUCACUUCCUAUCCCGAGUUUCCCAUGAGCGCAGUGAGACAGUCCAGGCCUCUGAUACUCCUCUGUUUAAAGGAAAUGACAGCCUGAAGGUUCAGUAAAAGGGUAAUCUGUUCGUCCGGCACUGCAGAUGGAUCAGCUGUUUGCGUGCAUUGAGUCAGUACUGUCGUCAUUUGCUGCAACUCCCUCCUUUUGUACCUCUUUAGGGAUUAUAAAGUUGUUCCUCCAGCAGGAAUUUCUGGAAUUCUCUACUCAUGCUGCUUAUGUAACAGCCGCUCCCCACCAAACAUACAAAUAGGGUGCUAGCAGAGGAUCCGAGGCUGUUUGGACUCUCAUUCUGACUGCAGAGGAUCCAUUGUGGAUUUCAUGCAUCAUAAAUCAAGGACAAGACGAGGAUGCCAUCCUGAGGAGGUGCUGGCACACAUUGAGAAGACUGAACUGAUAUAAACAGUGAGCGAUCUGUUCUGCAUGCUAGUGCUGCUUUCCCUGAGACUUGAACAAUUUCGCUUUAGGCUAAAGUUAACUCAAAGUGUAACUCUGAACAUUGUGAAUCCCUGACAGUGCUGUCCAAGCCCACAUCUCCUUGUGUGCCAGCCUAGACAUGUAGACUCACACCUGUUCCUUUAUCAAGAUUCAAGGGAUGAUCCAUUGACUGCGUCCAAAAGCUGAGAAAUGCUGCCUUCACAGGUGGUAUAUGGUGGUAUAUAGGGAAACGUUACAUCCUGUCUACUAAGAUGCCUUCGUUUAAUUUUUUUUUUACUCACUGCUAGACUCUCGUUUUUUUUUAUAUGCUGUUACUGAGGUGGUACCCUUUCUAAACAUACUUAUAUGUACAAUUUAGGUCCAAAGGAGUACCUAUAAGGUACUAAAAUGCACUCUUUAGGGGUAAAUAAGAUUCAGAGGUGUACCCUUUUGAAAGGCAUCAAUCCCAGUGGUACCUUUUUUAUGCGUGUCUUUUUCUGAGAAUGUAUUGAGAAAUAAGCUCGGUUCUCUAUACAUUUGGCUUGAAUUGGUUUUAGAUUAACAAAUAUUUUUGAGUGAUAUUGGCUUUUUUACCGUAGUUGUGUUUUUUUUUCUUCAAAAUUUUCUUUGUUGUGAUGCAUGUAUUUACUUAUACUAUUUUAAAUAAGUCAUUUAUUUUUUUAAUUGUUUUUUAAUUUUAUUUAAAUUGAUAAUAUCUAUUUAAAAAUCAUGCCUGUUAUAUUCAACAAUGUAAUUAUAUACAAUAAUGUGUUUGUCAGAUGUGUGCUGAUAAAGAAUG